GCCUUCGUGGUGUAGUGGUCAGCAAGCUCGACUCGUAACCGAGAGGUCCGUAGUUCGAUUCCGAAGGCG
rnacentral:tRNA from 1 species